AGGAAAUUCAUUAGAAAGCGUAUCAUAAAAUAUAUUAGGAAGUGUAUCCUAAAAUAUCUCCAACACAUCACAACUAAAUUAUUUUAACAAUGAAUGGAUUAUCUAUAAAAAUAAAUCAUCAAAGCCGAACAUAUUCAAGAGCGUGUCCGAAAGGAGGACACGCGAGUCCGCGAUAUGUCUCCAACGUUCCAAUGAAACUGAAAAUAAUAAAACAUGGCAUGUCCAACACGUGUCGGCGUGUGUACAAGUCGUCUCGAUGUCUAAUACAUACAAAAACUAAUUUGACGUGUAUAUGCUUCAUAGCUAGUGGGCGCCAAUUGUUCAACCACAAAACUGUAGAGUUGCCAUUCCCUAUCAAAUAUUGGAUCCAAGGCUGACCCAAGGGUCUCAGUUUGAAGAUAUUCUUGUAUUGUACCCAAGGACCAGUCACCAGUCACAGUCACCAGUCACAUCUGACCAUAUUAACCACACACACGAGACACAUAUAUACGUGGUUCAGCCAAUCUGCCUACGUCCACGGAGAGGAAACAAUAAUUCACUAACACCGAAUGAAUUACAUACAAAAUGAGGAGAUCACACUCCUCUCAUAUCUCACCAUCUCACUGUCUGUUCUCUCCUCUCACAGUACCACAACUCCCACCAUUAGCAGAUCUCUCUCUGCUAUCAGUACACUCCCCCAGCCCCUUUGCACACAGCAACAUGCUAUGUGCUCCCAGUAAUCUCCCAAGGAUUACAUUUUUGUGCACCCACUUCUCUC
rnacentral:lncRNA from 1 species